GACGAACGCUGGCGGCGUGCCUAACACAUGCAAGUCAACUUGACUGAAGGAGCAAUCUGACAGUAGAGUGGCGCAAGGGUGCGUAACGCGGUAAGUAACGUUGCCCCAAGGUAAGGAAUAACGUCGAGAAAUCGGCGCUAAUACCUCAUAAUGCAGCGGAUCCGCAUGGAUAUGUUGUUAAAGGUUUACCGCCUUGGGAUAGGCUUGCGUCUGAUUAGUUAGUUGGUGUGGUAACGGCACACCAAGGCUACGAUCAGUAACUGGUCUGAGAGGAUGAUCAGUCACACUGGAACUGAGACACGGUCCAGACUCCUACGGGAGGCAGCAGUGAGGAAUAUUGGGCAAUGCUCGAAAGAGUGACCCAGCAACGCCGCGUGGAGGAUGAAGGUAUUCUAUAUCGUAAACUCCUGUGAGAGCAGACGAAGACAGAUUAUUAAUACUGGAUGACUGUA
rnacentral:rRNA from 1 species